rnacentral:tRNA from 1 species
GCCAGCUUAGCUCAGCUGGUAGAGCAACGGUUUUGUAAACCGUAGGUCGUGGGUUCAAGUCCCACAGCUGGCUC